CAGUUAUUUGGGUUGGGGGAAUGUUCAAUUAACCCUAAGCUUAGUGUUUGUGCUCUAUUCCUUGCUACCACAGCAUAGAAAUAGCAAAAAUAGGUCGCAUCCACAAAUGUGGAUGCCGUUACUGAAGGGGUUAUGUAAGCACAUAUACCACUCACGAAAGAAAUAGCCUGAAACUG
rnacentral:lncRNA from 1 species